CCUAGACCCCGGCUUCCUCUCCACCUCACAGUCUCCUAGCCGGGUCCCCUUGCUCACCUCAGGGCACCGCGGCUCAAAGCCCUUGUUUCUCAGUAGGGCUGAGAACCGGUUUCUGAUGCAUCAUCGGAGGACCUCACCCCAGGGUAUGAGACUAAAAUGGACGCUGCAACGAUGUGCAAGACAUUUAAUCCCGGGGCUUCUACCAGCCCAUCGCAAAUGUUCAUGCCGAGGAAAAAUAAAAGACCAGUUACUUACA